CUUCGGAUGGCUGAGACAAAGCAGUAGAUUUUUAAUCUACCUACGAUAAAAAUUAUCUCUGAAGA
rnacentral:tRNA from 1 species